rnacentral:rRNA from 1 species
GCGGGAAGGAGCUUGCUCCUUUGCCGGCGAGUGGCGCACGGGUGCGUAACGCGUAUACAACCUACCUUAUACAGGGGUAUAGCCCAGGGAAACUUGGAUUAACACCCCAUAGUAAUAUGUUUUGGCAUCAUUACAUAUUUAAAACUACGGUGGUAUAAGAUGGGUAUGCGUCCCAUUAGCUUGUUGGUGUGGUAACGGCACACCAAGGCUACGAUGGGUAGGGGCCCUGAGAGGGGGAUCCCCCACACUGGUACUGAGACACGGACCAGACUCCUACGGGAGGCAGCAGUGAGGAAUAUUGGACAAUGGGCGGGAGCCUGAUCCAGCCAUGCCGCGUGCAGGAAGACUGCCCUAUGGGUUGUAAACUGCUUUUAUACGGGAAGAAACCCACCUACGUGUAGGUGGCUGACGGUACCGUAAGAAUAAG